rnacentral:lncRNA from 1 species
GUUUCCUAUUGAGCAAUUCAAAUAAUCCAGGAUUUUUCUUGUGGGCAGUGCACAGAAAUUGAUCAAGAACAUAAAGAAGAUGGUUUACCAACAGAAAAAUUAAGUGGCAUUAGACAUUGUGUGAAAGAGAUGAUCUUCCCCCAGAAUACCCAAAAUGGCUCCUGUCAAGUCUAAUGACUGUUUCUGUUAAAUGUGCUUCAUAUUACCACAUAUUUUUUUUAAUCAUAAAAUAUGGGUGCUUAUAAAAUAGACUGCAUAUAGGAAUGAGUGACAAAACAAAAUAAAAUACUAAGUCCUUACCAUCUGUUUUCUUUGAUUCACUUCCCACACCAGAUUGAUCUUUUUUGUCUGCCAUACAGUCUUCCUUUAUUUCACCAUUCUGGACAUGUUUCUCUUCUCUCGCUGCGUGAUGAGAAUCCAUUCCCUUAUCUGUCCUAGGAGCACUUUUUCCUUGAGAGGCUUCGUGUCUGGUCACUCCAGUUUGCCCUGUCCCAUUUAUGUGGGAAUUCUCAUUGGAAUCUGAACUUUUGUUUUCCCCAGGAUUUGGUUCUUUGCUGUUCUCCAUCUUUGCUGCUGUGUCAUCUUCAGUUGGCUUCUCAUCCUUUUCAUCUGUUUUCUUUUCAUCUGUUCCCUGAUGAACACUUUCCUCUGCUUCUUUCUUAGCUUUUUCUUCUUUGGUGGCUUGUGCUUUCCAUUUCUCCCGGUUCUGCUGCACCACCUCAGUCCAGGUGGCUUUAAAACAUUUGAAGUCCACAGUGAGUAUGGAGCAGUUGAGUGAGGC